rnacentral:rRNA from 1 species
UACGAAGGUCCCAAGCGUUGUUCGGAAUCACUGGGCGUAAAGCGCACGUAGGCGGCUUUCUAAGUCAGAGGUGAAAUCCCGGAGCUCAACUCCGGAACUGCCUUUGAUACUGGAGAGCUUGAGUUCGGGAGAGGUGAGUGGAACUGCGAGUGUAGAGGUGAAAUUCGUAGAUAUUCGCAAGAACACCAGUGGCGAAGGCGGCUCACUGGCCCGAUACUGACGCUGAGGCACGAAAGCGUGGGGAGCAAACAGG